UAAACUGGGAAUGUGUUUGGUGAGUUUGUUUGUGUCAAAGUCAGAGAGCCGUGUCUCUCUACAGUGAGAGGUUUUUGUACGAAGACUCAAUCAGUUUGUAUCACUGUGGAGGACUUUUGGUGGAGAAACCAGACUGGAGGUUAACUUGGGUCGAGUCGUCCCCACCCUGACGGUGCUGCCCCCCUCCAGUGAGGAGCUGCAGCAGGGGAUGGCCACGCUCAUGUGCCUGGCCAACAAGGGCUUCCCCUCAGACUGGAGUCUGUCCUGGAAGGUGGACGGCAGCAGCAGCAGCAGCAGCAGCUGGGAGCAGAGCAGGAGCCCCGGGGUGCUGAAGGACGGCCACUACAGCUGGAGCAGCACCCUGAGGCUCUCUGCAGACCAGUGGAGGAAGGUGGGCUCUGUGACCUGUGAGGCCACCCAGGGCUCCCAGACUCCGCUCUCAGAGACACUGAGGAGAGACCAGUGUUCCCAGUCCUGACCUGACUCACUGGGACUCUGCUACUGGUUUUACUCUGCUACUGCUCUCACUGUGCACUCUGUAACUAUCUCUCUCUUUCAUUUGACAUGUUUCAGUCAGAAUAUUUACUAGCUUGUUGCAGUGUUUCAAUAUUAUUUCACUGUUUCCAGAUAAUAAAGACGUGUUCAUCAAA